AUUGAACGCUGGCGGCAGGCCUAACACAUGCAAGUCGAGCGGGUGAAGGGAGCUUGCUCCUUGUUUCAGCGGCGGACGGGUGUGUAAUGCCUAGGAAUCUGCCUGGUAGUGGGGGAUAACGUCCCGAAACGGGCGCUAAUACCGCAUACGUCCUGAGGGAGAAAGUGGGGGAUCUUCGGACCUCACGCUAUCAUACGAGCCUAGGUCGGAUUAGCUAGUUGGUGGGGUAAAGUCCUACCAAGGCGACGAUCCGUAACUGGUCUGAGAGGAUGAUCAGUCACACCCGAACUGAGCCACGGUACACACUCCUACGGGAGGCAGCAGUGGGGAAUAUUGGACAAUGGGCGAAAGCCUGCUCCAGCCCUGCCGCGUGUGUGAAGAAGGUCUUCGGAUUGUAAAGCACUUUAAGUUGGGAGGAAGCGCAGUAAGUUAAUACCUUGCUGUUUUGACGUUACCACCAGAGUGAGCACAGGCUAACCUCGUG
rnacentral:rRNA from 1 species